AUACGGAGGAUGCGAGCGUUAUCCGGAUUUAUUGGGUUUAAAGGGUGCGUAGGCGGCUUUGUAAGUCAGCGGUGAAAUUUUCCGGCUCAACCGGGAUACUGCCGUUGAUACUAUAAGGCUAGGAUAUGGUUGCUGUGGGUGGAAUGUGUGGUGUAGCGGUGAAAUGCUUAGAGAUCACACAGAAUAUCGAUUGCGAAGGCAGCUCACAAAGCCAUUAUUGACGCUGAGGCACGAAAGUGUGGGGAUC
rnacentral:rRNA from 1 species